AACGAACGCUGGCGGCAUGCCUAACACAUGCAAGUCGAACGAAGCCUUCGGGCUUAGUGGCGCACGGGUGCGUAACGCGUGGGAAUCUGCCCUUUGGUUCGGAAUAACAGUUGGAAACGACUGCUAAUACCGGAUGAUGACGAAAGUCCAAAGAUUUAUCGCCAGAGGAUGAGCCCGCGUAGGAUUAGCUAGUUGGUGUGGUAAAGGCGCACCAAGGCGACGAUCCUUAGCUGGUCUGAGAGGAUGUUCAGCCACACUGGGACUGAGACACGGCCCAGACUCCUACGGGAGGCAGCAGUGGGGAAUAUUGGACAAUGGGCGAAAGCCUGAUCCAACAAUGCCGCGUGAGUGAUGAAGGCCCCAGGGUUGUAAAGCUCUUUUACCCGGGAUGAUAAUGACAGUACCGGGAGAAUAAGCCCCGGCUAACUCCGUGCCAGCCGCCGCGGUAA
rnacentral:rRNA from 1 species